rnacentral:rRNA from 1 species
AGUGAACGCUGGCGGUAGGCCUAACACAUGCAAGUCGAACGGCAGCACAGUAAGAGCUUGCUCUUACGGGUGGCGAGUGGCGGACGGGUGAGGAAUACAUCGGAAUCUACUUUUUCGUGGGGGAUAACGUAGGGAAACUUCCGCUAAUACCGCAUACGACCUACGGGUGAAAGCAGGGGAUCUUCGGACCUUGCGCGAUUGAAUGAGCCGAUGUCGGAUUAGCUAGUUGGCGGGGUAAAGGCCCACCAAGGCGACGAUCCGUAGCUGGUCUGAGAGGAUGAUCAGCCACACUGGAACUGAGACACGGUCCAUACUCCUACGGGAGGCAGCAGUGGGGAAUAUUGGACAAUGGGCGCAAGCCUGAUCCAGCCAUACCGCGUGGGUGAAGAAGGCCUUCGGGUUGUAAAGCCCUUUUGUUGGGAAAGAAAAGCAGCAGGUUAAUACCCCGCUGUUCUGACGGUACCCAAAGAAUAAGCACCGGCUAACUUCGUG